rnacentral:sRNA from 1 species
GGCAGCCUAGCUGGGAAGUGUCAGAGGAGAAGCGUGCUGGGAAAGGCUCAGGGCUGAUGUCUGCUGUGAGAGCUGAGAGGCCUAGGACAGUGGAGGAGGCAGAGGUGGUGGGGAUGGGUUUCUCUGGGUAGCCCUGGCUGUCUUCCUCAUCUGGUUCCCAUGCAGAUCCAAGGAGAACACAGGAGAAAUGGUUGCCGAGCUCAGCUGCCUGGAAGCCAGCCUUCUCCUGUUUGCCUGCA